UGCGGAGUAGUGCAGCGGCAGCGCGCCGGGUUCAUCUCCCGCGAGGUCGCAGGUUCGAAUCCUGCCUCCGCCAC
rnacentral:tRNA from 1 species